rnacentral:tmRNA from 1 species
GGGAGCGACUUGGCUUCGACAGGAGUAAGUCUGCUUAGAUGGCAUGUCGCUUUGGGCAAAGCGUAAAAAGCCCAAAUAAAAUUAAACGCAAACAACGUUAAAUUCGCUCCUGCUUACGCUAAAACUGCGUAAGUUCAGUUGAGCCUGAAAUUUAAGUCAUACUAUCUAGCUUAAUUUUCGGUCAUUUUUGAUAGUGUAGCCUUGCGUUUGACAAGCGUUGAGGUGAAAUAAAGUCUUAGCCUUGCUUUUGAGUUUUGGAAGAUGAGCGAAGUAGGGUGAAGUAGUCAUCUUUGCUAAGCAUGUAGAGGUCUUUGUGGGAUUAUUUUUGGACAGGGGUUCGAUUCCCCUCGCUUCCACCA